AUUUAUAUAUUUUUUCUCAUUUGAUUAUCAGGAGAUCCCUGUGAAGAAAGUUGUCAGUGAUAUUAUUAUUCUCACAUUUCUGAUGAAGAAACUGAGGCUGAAAGAGACACAGAUUCAAGUUGAACAAGAUGAUCUUUGAGGCCGUUGGCAUUCUCCUGUAUCGCCUAGCUACUGCAAGAUUAAUGCCAAAUCCCACCCGGUACAUCAGAGAUGACAUCCAAAGAGGCUCAAUGACUUGCCAAGGAUCACACAGCUCACCUGAGACAGAAUCUGAAUCCAGUUCUUCCUUAUUCCAAAUCCAGUGUUUUCAUUUAGUAUAUUAUAGGAAGCUAGGUAGUGUGGUACCUAGAGAGCACUGGUUCUGGAGGCAGAAAUGCAUAAGUUUAAAUCCAUCUAAGCCACAGACUACCUGGGUGACCCUGAUCCAGAUACCUAUAUGUCUGCCUCAGUUUCCAUGUUCAUAAAUUGGGAAUAAUAAUAGCACCUACUAUCUAGGAUUUUUAUGAAGAACAAAUAGGAUAUUUGUAAAGCACGUUGCAAACCUUAAAGAGCUACUUAAAUGCUAGUUAUUAUUAUUAUUAUACUCCACUGCCCCUCUAAGCAUUAGAACAGGACAGAAUGGGACAGAAUGAAAGAAAUCAACAAUGUUGGCAGUUCUAGGGCUGGUCAGUGAAGGCUCCAUGACAAGAGUAAUAUUGGAACUAGGACUUGAAAGAUGAACAGAAUCUUUACAGGUAAGGAUUUUAGGCAUGGUGAGGAGAGAAUGCAGAAAUGCCUUUAAGGUAUAAAGGAAAGAACAAUGGACUUGAAAUCAGAAGAUCUAGGUUCAAAUCCAAGUUCUCCAUGGACUACCUCUGUGACUUCAGACAAAUCACUUUAUUUCUCCAGGAUUUCAUUUCCUUCUCAAUAAAAUGAAGGUAUUGGCCCA
rnacentral:lncRNA from 1 species